AAGAAAAAACGACUGAAGUGGUCAACCACCGCCUCCUCUUUAGCCAAAGAAUCCACCCUAUCAUUUGCCUCCCUAUGAACAUGGAUGAAUACCACCACUUAGUGACGACAGAUAUCCAAAGCUUCCAUUCAAAACCUUCUCAAACUCCAUAGAAACCUACCUUUCCAAAAGAAAAGUACCAAUUGAUUAUAUUUAAUGAAUCGUCUUCCACCGUCCGACCAAAACUAGCACACCGAAUGCUCAAUAGUUUUAGUCUACGCAACAACGCUAAUAAUUCAGCAUUAUGAGCUAUCGCUACACCACAUGGCCCAUAAUAUGAGAAGAUCUCCGCACCCAUGGAAUCUUUAACUACUCAUCCAAAACUAGUAGGACUUGGAUUCCCAAAGAAACUUUUAUCAAAGUUGAGCUUAAUACAUCCAUUAACUAGUGGUGUCCAUAUACCUUUAAGUCUAAAAUUCACCAAAAAUUGUUGAACCAAAUCACACAAAUUAAGAAUGAGAUACAUCUUAAAACACCCCAUAACGUUCUUUUGUAUUGGAAAACCAAAACCAUUAUUUGUGAAUAAUCUUAUUUUUUAUUCAGGCUAAAUCUGAAUUCAUCUCUUUAAAAGUUCAUUUGUUUCUUUCCGAUCAAACCUCUCAUGGCGCAACCGGAAGAAUCUGCAACAAAAUUAGCGUUUUUUUGGCAGUGAUGGAAUUACGAGCUGGUCAAUAAUUCAAGUGUGUACAAAGAACAUCCUA
rnacentral:lncRNA from 1 species